rnacentral:rRNA from 1 species
AUUGAACGCUGGCGGCAUGCCUUACACAUGCAAGUCGAACGGCAGCACGGGAGCAAUCCUGGUGGCGAGUGGCGAACGGGUGAGUAAUGUAUCGGAACGUGCCCAGUCGUGGGGGAUAACGUAGCGAAAGCUACGCUAAUACCGCAUACGAUCUAUGGAUGAAAGCGGGGGAUCGCAAGACCUCGCGCGAUUGGAGCGGCCGAUAUCAGAUUAGGUAGUUGGUGGGGUAAAGGCUCACCAAGCCGACGAUCUGUAGCUGGUCUGAGAGGACGACGAGCCACACGGGGACUGAGACACGGCCCAGACUCCUACGGGAGGCAGCAGUGGGGAAUUUUGGACAAUGGGCGCAAGCCUGAUCCAGCAAUGCCGCGUGCAGGAUGAAGGCCUUCGGGUUGUAAACUGCUUUUGUACGGAACGAAACGGCGAGCUCUAAUACAGUUUGCUAAUGACGGUACCGUAAGAAUAAGCACCGGCUAACUACGUGCCAGCCGCCGCCGUAA